UACAUCACGAUGAUAGGAAGCAGUAGCGACAGUGUUUUUUUUAGAGAGCCGGCGGAUGGUGUAAGCCGGUAAAAACCGUUGUGAAUCCGUCCUGGAGUAGCAGAACUGAAAUCAGUAGGUUGUGCCGGUCAGUUGAGCCGAUAUCUCAAACAAGUGGGCUGGCAAUCAGUCAAUUUGGGUGGCAACGCGGGUAGUUCUCGUCCCUAUU
rnacentral:ncRNA from 1 species